CUGGUUUCUGCACUGAGCUAAGCUGUGUGACUGUAGCUCAGUUUUCCCCAUCUUGAAAAUGGUCUCAUGAGGUGUGUUAAAGGCCUGUGAGAAGAGGAGAAAUAUACUAUGUGGGAUGGGUAAUAAAACUGCAGGUGGGAGACAAAGGGUGCAAUUUAAACUCUGAAAGUUGCUGAGUCAUUGUUUUUCCCUCCUCUGUUUUGCUGACAGAAGUGCUUGGUGCCCGGGCCCUUUGAGGCAGGCUUUGGGAGAAUCCCACGACACUGGGGCCAACUGACGUUCAGACACUGUCAGUCUUCCCAUCCGGCCAUGGCAUCUGCAGGGAGGUCUCUGGUUUAUUCCUGACAUCUUCUUACCAUCAUAACACCACCCGGCAUUUAUCACAUGCAGAGACCCCUAAGCAAUCAGCCUAAGGAGUUUUACUAUCACAGCGCAGCUAGCUGGUGAGAGGGGCUGGGAGCUCCCGGAUCUGUCUGGACAUGCAGCCACUCCUGGCAGUCCCCACCCCUCCUUCCACCCAGCCCCUCUGCCUUCCAGCAAGUGAAUGAAGUCAGGCAGGCCCUGGGCCAUCCCGGGUGAAGGAGGGAGUGGGCAUGCUCUACAAAAAAUACAAAAAUUAGUCAGGCAUGUGGUGCAUGCCUGUAGUCUCAGCUACUUGGGAGGUUGAGGUGGGAGGAUUGCUUAAGCCCAGGAGGUCGAGGCUGCAGUGAGCCAUGAUCGCGCCACUGCCUGGCUGUCUCAGUUCCUUUUUAUUGUCUUUGUAAAGUCACGUUGUUAGAAACAAAUAUCUGGGCACCAUGAACCCAGCUGCCCAUCACUGUCGAGGUCCUGGUAUAUCGGGUGGUCAGGCAAGGAACCCCUUUUCCUGCAAGCUUCCUGCACACAGCUUAUUCUUGCCUUGAGAUACUACCCAUUUCCAGAAAACCAGAGGAGAGCACCACACAGGCUUCCGUUGGCUUACAUGAGUAAGUUCUUUAGUGGGGAUUUGUGAGAUUUUGGUGCACCCAUCACCCAAGCAGUACCCACUGCACCCUGUUUUCAGUCUUUUAUCCCUUAUCCGCUCUCACCUUUUUCCCCCUGAGUCCCCAAAGUCCAUUGUGUCAUUCUUAUUCCUUUGCAUCCUCACAGCUUAGCUCCCACUUAUGAAAGAGAACAUACGAUGUUUGGUUUCCCAUUCCUGAGUUACUUCACUUAGAAUAAUAGUCUCCAAUCCUAUCCAGGUUGCUGCAAAUGCCAUUAAUUCAUUCCUUUUUAUGGCCUCAACACAUUUUGCAUUCUUUUUUAAUAAAGGUGGUUUGGAGAAUGAUGCUAAUGAAGAACUGGAAGAUGGAGAAAAGAACCCCUUUUCCAC
rnacentral:lncRNA from 10 species